AUGUGUUCUCAUUUCAUCAGCAGUCUCGUUCUCAUCCUUAUGGGAUGGUGUGGAGCCCAGCACUCCUCAGCCAAUCUAGGUAGACGCAGGCCUUGACCUUGAACAUUUCCAAGUGACGUAGAACCCACAGGCCCAGAGGCCCCCAACAGCUUCCUGUGUGGGGUUCAGAAACCCGCCUUCCCUCCCAGCCUCAAAGGCUUGUUUCGGAAAAUGAAGUAAGAAGCCAUCACACCUGCGCCAUCUUAGUGCACUGAGCGUCCAGGGAGGAGGAUGGGGCCAGGCACUUGCCGGCGGGUCCUGGGACUCUGGCUCCUAGCAGUUGCCGUGUGGGGAUUGGAAGGUGAGUAAUGCUUUCCAUUUUCAUUAUAACAUCCACCAUGCUUCCCAGUAUUUCUGAUUGGAGCUUUCU